rnacentral:lncRNA from 1 species
CUGGAUAAGAGUGUCUGCUAAGUGACUCCACCUGGUCGUGCUGCUGCUCCAGGUUCAACUGUUCUGCCUGCGGCUAUGGAACCCUGACCUGUUCACCGGACCUGCUACCUGUCCCAGACCUGCUGUUUUCAACUCUCUAGAGACAGCAGGAGCGGUAGAGAUACUCUGAAUGAUCGGCUAUGAAAAGCCAACUGACAUUUACUCCUGAGGUGCUGACCUGUUGCACCCUCGUCAACAACUGUGAUUAUUAUUAUUUGACCCUGCUGGUCAUCUAUGAACAUUUGAACAUCUUGGCCAUGUUCUGUUAUAAUCUCCACCGGCAGAGUCAGAAGAGGGCUGGCCACCCCUCAUAGCCUGGUUCCUCUCAAGGUUUCUUCCUAGAUUCUGGCCUUUCUAGGGAGUUUUUCCUAGCCACCGUGCUUCUACACCUGCAUUGCUUGCUGUUUGGGGUUUUAGGCUGGGUUUCUGUACAGCACUUUGAUAUAUCAGCUGAUGUAAGAAGGGCUUUAUAAAUACAUUUGAUUUGAUCUAUCGUCCACCCUCCGCCAAGAACUGUGUACUAAACAAACUCUCUGAUUUAAUUGCCAUUUUUAUUACGACCUUUUUUUGUGACCUUUAUUUUGGUGACUUUGAUUGCAUUGCAUCUAUAUCUGACCCAGAGUUGGCUGUGAAACACUUCACAAAUGUUUUCAAUUGUAUUGUAGAUAAACAUGCUCCCUUUAAAAAACUGAGCAUUAAAAAUCGGUCUAGCCCUUGGUUCAGUCCAGAGCUAUCUGAAGUCAUACAUAAGAGAGAUGCUGCCUGGGCAAAAGCUAAAAAAUGCUGUGCUGCCUUGUUCAUUGACCUGUCAAAGGCGGUCGACACUGUUGAUCAUUCUGUUUUGCUGAAGAAAUGAUCAAGAGUAGGCCUGGGAUAUACAGCCCGUUUAUGGUUUCAGAAUUAUCUUAGCGAACAGAACUCAGGCCAUCUUCAUAGAUGGGGUUAAAUCUGAAUUUCUUGAAAUUCAGAAAGGUUUUCUUCAGGGUUCGAUUUUGGGUCCAUUAUUGUUCACUUUGUAUAUUGAUGGCAUUGGAAACAC